rnacentral:rRNA from 1 species
GACGAACGCUGGCGGCGUGCUUAACACAUGCAAGUCGAACGGAAAGGCCCUGCUUUUGUGGGGUGCUCGAGUGGCGAACGGGUGAGUAACACGUGAGUAACCUGCCCUUGACUUUGGGAUAACUUCAGGAAACUGGGGCUAAUACCGGAUAGGAGCUCCUGCUGCAUGGUGGGGGUUGGAAAGUUUCGGCGGUUGGGGAUGGACUCGCGGCUUAUCAGCUUGUUGGUGGGGUAGUGGCUUACCAAGGCUUUGACGGGUAGCCGGCCUGAGAGGGUGACCGGCCACAUUGGGACUGAGAUACGGCCCAGACUCCUACGGGAGGCAGCAGUGGGGAAUAUUGCACAAUGGGCGGAAGCCUGAUGCAGCAACGCCGCGUGCGGGAUGACGGCCUUCGGGUUGUAAACCGCUUUCGCCUGUGACGAAGCGUGAGUGACGGUAAUGGGUAAAGAAGCACCGGCUAACUACGUGCCAGCAGCCGCGGUGAUACGUAGGGUGCGAGCGUUGUCCGGAUUUAUUGGGCGUAAAGGGCUCGUAGGUGGUUGAUCGCGUCGGAAGUGUAAUCUUGGGGCUUAACCCUGAGCGUGCUUUCGAUACGGGUUGACUUGAGGAAGGUAGGGGAGAAUGGAAUUCCUGGUGGAGCGGUGGAAUGCGCAGAUAUCAGGGGGAACACCAGUGGCGAAGGCGGUUCUCUGGGCCUUUCCUGACGCUGAGGAGCGAAAGCGUGGGGAGCGAACAGGCUUAGAUACCCUGGUAGUCCACGCUGUAAACGGUGGGUACUAGGUGUGGGGUCCAUUCCACGGGUUCCGUGCCGUAGCUAACGCUUUAAGUACCCCGCCUGGGGAGUACGGCCGCAAGGCUAAAACUCAAAGGAAUUGACGGGGCCCCGCACAAGCGGCGGAGCAUGCGGAUUAAUUCGAUGCAACGCGUAGAACCUUACCUGGGUUUGACAUGGAUCGGGAGUGCUCAGAGAUGGGUGUGCCUCUUUUGGGGUCGGUUCACAGGUGGUGCAUGGCUGUCGUCAGCUCGUGUCGUGAGAUGUUGGGUUAAGUCCCGCAACGAGCGCAACCCUUGUUCACUGUUGCCAGCACGUUAUGGUGGGGACUCAGUGGAGACCGCCGGGGUCAACUCGGAGGAAGGUGGGGAUGACGUCAAGUCAUCAUGCCCCUUAUGUCCAGGGCUUCACGCAUGCUACAAUGGCUGGUACAGAGAGUGGCGAGCCUGUGAGGGUGAGCGAAUCUCGGAAAGCCGGUCUCAGUUCGGAUUGGGGUCUGCAACUCGACCUCAUGAAGUCGGAGUCGCUAGUAAUCGCAGAUCAGCAACGCUGCGGUGAAUACGGUUCCCGGG